GAGUUUGCUGUGGGGGCAAAACUGAUGGUGCACUCUGAGCUGACAAGUUGCCUGACAGCUGGGGGCUCUUAUUUCCCUGGGAGCUGCUACGACUGGAUUUGCUGCUUUUGCCUUUCGUGGGUCGUCUCCUCCUUCCUGAAAGGGGCGCAGCAGGGGGAAUAAUGACUGCAGGCGGGACCUUUCCUAGUUUUGUGUACAGUGAUUCAAUCUCCUGCUUCUGGCGGCUCUGCAGCUCCUGGAUCUCUUUAAGGUGCUUCUCCCGUAAUCGACGGAGUUCCAAUUUCA
rnacentral:lncRNA from 1 species